UACGAAGGGGCUAGCGUUGCUCGGAAUCACUGGGCGUAAAGGGUGCGUAGGCGGGUCUUUAAGUCAGGGGUGAAAUCCUGGAGCUCAACUCCAGAACUGCCUUUGAUACUGAGGAUCUUGAGUUCGGGAGAGGUGAGUGGAACUGCGAGUGUAGAGGUGAAAUUCGUAGAUAUUCGCAAGAACACCAGUGGCGAAGGCGGCUCACUGGCCCGAUACUGACGCUGAGGCACGAAAGCGUGGGGAAGCAAACAGGG
rnacentral:rRNA from 1 species